GACGAACGCUGGCGGCGUGCUUAACACAUGCAAGUCGAACGGAAAGGCCCUGCUUUUGUGGGGUGCUCGAGUGGCGAACGGGUGAGUAACACGUGAGUAACCUGCCCUUGACUUUGGGAUAACUUCAGGAAACUUGGGCUAAUACCGGAUAGGAGCUCCUGCUGCAUGGUGGGGGUUGGAAAGUUUCGGCGGUUGGGGAUGGACUCGCGGCUUAUCAGCUUGUUGGUGGGGUAGUGGCUUACCAAGGCUUUGACGGGUAGCCGGCCUGAGAGGGUGACCGGCCACAUUGGGACUGAGAUACGGCCCAGACUCCUACGGGAGGCAGCAGUGGGGAAUAUUGCACAAUGGGCGGAAGCCUGAGGCAGAAACGCCGCGUGCGGGAUGACGGCCUUCGGGUUGUAAACCGCUUUCGCCUGAGACGAAGCGUGAGUGACGGUAAUGGGUAAAGAAGCACCGGCUAACUACGUG
rnacentral:rRNA from 1 species